AUGGAUUUCCUCAUGGAGCACCACCAUCGCAUCUCCACGAGUCCGUCGGGUUCCGGCCAUCCCCGUCGUUGCCGGACCUCCUUAGCUCGCCGGAGCUCCUGCCGUGUCGCCGCUGUUGCUUGUUGCCGCGCCACUAGAGGAGUGUUGCCUCUGCUCCUCGAGCAAGCGCUGCCGCCUCGCGUUGACUCGUCGUCGUCGAGUCCUCGCCGGAGAACAACGCCCCGCACCCGGACCCACUCGUCUCGCCGCCGGCAAGCCCUGCCUCCGCCGCCCUCGCCGUCGCGUGUUCUUCUGCUUCCGGCGUCAUCCGUGCGUCGCGUUCUGCUGCGGCCUUUGUUCUUCUGCAACGAGGAGCAACGAGGAGCAACGAGUCGUUCGUGCGUUGACCACGUUUUCCCCCAGGUCGAUCGAUCCAGCCAGGACCAGCCCUGCAACCCCGCGGCCCAGAUCCAGCGCCCGCGUGGGCCUCAGGCAGGCCGGCCUCCUCUGCUUCCUAUUGGGCUGAGCCCAUGGUGA
rnacentral:rRNA from 1 species